rnacentral:rRNA from 1 species
GCGGGGGAUAACUAUUGGAAACGAUAGCUAAUACCGCAUAACAAUGGAUGACUGUCAUUUAUUUGAAAGGGGCAAUUGCUCCACUACAAGAUGGACCUGCGUUGUAUUAGCUAGUAGGUGAGGUAAUGGCUCACCUAGGCGACGAUACAUAGCCGACCUGAGAGGGUGAUCGGCCACACUGGGACUGAGACACGGCCCAGACUCCUACGGGAGGCAGCAGUAGGGAAUCUUCGGCAAUGGGGGCAACCCUGACCGAGCAACGCCGCGUGAGUGAAGAAGGUUUUCGGAUCGUAAAGCUCUGUUGUAAGUCAAGAACGGGUGUGAGAGUGGAAAGUUCACACUGUGACGGUAGCUUACCAGAAAGGGACGGCUAACUACGUGCCAGCAGCCGCGGUAAUAC